rnacentral:rRNA from 1 species
UGAGGAAUAUUGCGCAAUGGAGGCAACUCUGACGCAGCCAUGCCGCGUGCAGGAAGAAGGCGCUACGCGUUGUAAACUGCUUUUAUCCGGGAAGAAACCCCUCGACGUGUCGAGGGUUGACGGUACCGGAGGAAUAAGCACCGGCUAACUUCGUGCCAGCAGCCGCGGUAAUACGAAGGGUGCAAGCGUUAUCCGGAUUCAUUGGGUUUAAAGGGUGCGUAGGCGGAACGCUAAGUCAGUGGUGAAAUCCUGCAGCUUAACUGUAGACUUGCCAUUGAUACUGGCGUUCUUGAGUGCGCUUGAAGUAGGCGGAAUGUGCCGUGUAGCGGUGAAAUGCUUAGAUAUGGCACAGAACACCAAUUGCGAAGGCAGCUUACUAAGGCGAUACUGACGCUGAGGCACGAAAGCGUGGGGAGCGAACAGG